rnacentral:lncRNA from 1 species
AGCUCAUGUAGUCCUACAAAAAGAUGCUGUCUCUUUAACUGUCCGUGUGCUACGCCCACCUUCCCAGGAUACACCUGUCCCAUCUGGGACCAUUUUGCAUGCUCAAACUCCACCCCAUUUGCAUGUUUAAUGGGGGGGGUACCACCCCCUUCCUUAUAAAAAGACGUGGCGGGCAGGAGAGAGUGCGCACUCCACCGUGGACCCAGCUUGGAGGCACGGCUCUCGGUUUCACUCUUCCCACUGCAGCAGUAGAUGGAGUUCUGUUACGGUUUGGAGAUAAAUCUGAGGAUGAAUUCAAGACUGUCUAUGUUAAAAGCCACUGCAAGUGAAUACGUGCAUACCUAUUUAUGUUGGUGGCUGGGUCACGUCUCGGGUGAGAACAGCUUCCCACGUCAACUCCCUGUGCAGGAAAAGUCCAUGGGAGAGAACCAAGAGUCAGGAUUCCUGGGCAUGGACUGGAAGCCUGGGUGCCUGUUUCGGCUCUGUGGCCAGCGAGUGUGUCUUCCUGGGAACUCCGCGAUGAUUUCUGCAGCACUGUCAAAUGUGUUUUUGCUACAUGGUGCAGCAGGCAAUUAAUUCAGCAAACUGCAAAUGCAGCCUGAGGCCCUGGGAUACUGUUCCACUGCCGCAGUCCCUGGCCUGGGCGCCCUCUCUGGCACACUGAGACCCAUGGCUGCAUCGGAAGAAAAACCCUCAGGGCAAAAAGGCAAGGCAGGCGAGGAACUCCCUCCUCCAGGGUCGUGAAACGCUGUGAGGUUUUCCAUUCUUUCAACACUCUCUCUGCUUUUCAACGGUGCGGGUGUUUCUGGGCGUGGGACCGGGCUGCUCGGGGGUUGGAUCUGCGGCACCAGUUUGAGGAGCUCAGCCUGGCCAGUCUGUUGCAGGAGGAGGCCACGUGCUGCUUGGCAGGAGGAACCAAGAGGUUUUGACUGAGGGGGUUUGCUGCCUUGGCCCCUACUUCCGAGUUUCUAAAGAACCAAGCUCUGAACCAAGCCAGAGCUGGUUUCUGAUGGCUGUCUCUUCACACACCGAAAGCUCAGGCAGUCUACAAUGGUGGUCGUCGGUAGUGACCGCGGGUCAAGGCCUGUUGGAGGCUGCUUCAUGGAAAACACAGAUUCUGAAAAAAGAUGAUGCAUCGAUCUCAAAAUUUUUUGGACUUGAGUAAACUUACAUUUUUUAAAAAAUAGAAUCUUCCAUCUACUGAUUCACUCUCCAAAUGGCCCCAACAGCUGGGACUGGUUCAGACCAAAGCAGGAGCCCAGAAACUCCAUCCGGGUCUCCCAC